GUGGGGAAUUUUGGACAAUGGGCGCAAGCCUGAUCCAGCAAUGCCGCGUGCAGGAAGAAGGCCUUCGGGUUGUAAACUGCUUUUGUACGGAACGAAACGGUCCUGGCUAAUAUCCGGGGCUAAUGACGGUACCGUAAGAAUAAGCACCGGCUAACUACGUGCCAGCAGCCGCGGUAAUACGUAGGGUGCGAGCGUUAAUCGGAAUUACUGGGCGUAAAGCGUGCGCAGGCGGUGCUGUAAGACAGGCGUGAAAUCCCCGGGCUCAACCUGGGAAUUGCGCUUGUGACUGCAGUGCUGGAGUACGGCAGAGGGGGAUGGAAUUCCGCGUGUAGCAGUGAAAUGCGUAGAUAUGCGGAGGAACACCGAUGGCGAAGGCAGUCCCCUGGGCCUGUACUGACGCUCAUGCACGAAAGCGUGGGGAGCAAACAGGAUUAGAUACCCCGGUAGUCC
rnacentral:rRNA from 1 species